rnacentral:rRNA from 1 species
GAUCAUGGCUCAGAUUGAACGCUGGCGGCAUGCUUUACACAUGCAAGUCGAACGGCAGCGCGGGCUUCGGCCUGGCGGCGAGUGGCGAACGGGUGAGUAAUAUAUCGGGACGUACCCAAGAGUGGGGGAUAACGUAGCGAAAGUUACGCUAAUACCGCAUACGAUCUAAGGAUGAAAGCAGGGGAUCGCAAGACCUUGUGCUCCUGGAGCGGCCGAUAUCUGAUUAGCUAGUUGGUGGGGUAAAGGCCCACCAAGGCAACGAUCAGUAGCUGGUCUGAGAGGACGACCAGCCACACUGGAACUGAGACACGGUCCAGACUCCUACGGGAGGCAGCAGUGGGGAAUUUUGGACAAUGGGGGCAACCCUGAUCCAGCAAUGCCGCGUGAGUGAAGAAGGCCUUCGGGUUGUAAAGCUCUUUUGUCAGGGAAGAAAAGGCUGUGGCUAAUAUCCACAGCUGCUGACGGUACCUGAAGAAUAAGCACCGGCUAACUACGUG